rnacentral:lncRNA from 1 species
ACUCAAUCACAUGGUGUUGGAUCAUCUCACAUUCUGGGCAAGAAGAAGAAGGGUGAAUCUAGUGCUGUGAGCAAACUGAUGGUUCUGCACAUAUAGGAAGAACUUGUUAAAUAUCUGACAACUCAUUGGAUGUCUGAUUGCUUGUCAUAGAGUAUGAACCUGGUUCAGAUGAGGUCUUCCUACCAUCCCAGAGCC